AUUGGACCUGAUAUCAGACAAGACUA
rnacentral:rRNA from 1 species